GGAGAUCUCCAGUGAUGUACAAUUAUAGCCGUUCGUCAGGAUUCUACGCAGAGAGGGAAGUGUCCAUCAAGAGCAUAAAGAAGGAGGUGAAGGAGGUGAGUAUGAAGAAGAAGGUGAAAAAGAUGUCGUCUGUCGUGGAUCUAAUAAGGGUCGGAAGGAAUUGUCCGUUGUAGAAUCGUCUAUGUAACAGUUCUCAUAAUUUGCAAUAAAUAAUAAAUCCAGAUGUUAAAAAAAAAAAAAAGUAAAUAAAGUCAUAGUCGCUUGGAUUUGAAGAUAACAAAGUUAAAAUUGGAUCAUUAUGGACUUUAAAACUAGAAACUGAAAUAUAUAUGUUGAUACAUGUAAAAUUCUUAUAUGUUUUCUAACGUAUGUCACAAUUUAUUGACUAUUCUAUCCAUAUAAAACAAAAAUUUGUUGUUUAUAAGAAUAUUUUUGACAACGCCUACCAAAAAAAAGAAUAUUUUUGACAAGAGGUAAAAUUUUAUCUCUUUCAAAAGUUUGUGGUGCGAAAAAAUAUUUUUAACGCAUAUUGAAAUCUAAUCGAUUAGCUAACAAAUGUUUUAAUUGUUAAUAAGUUUUCUGCUUUAUGUCAGAUCAAACUUUAAAUAAUAUGGUUUAUUCUAAAUCUCACUUGCAAUUUUAUUUGAAGAUAGUAUUUUCUGAGGGCCAGCCAAUCCACACUUUCUAAAAGCUAGAACGAUGAUCUUCGACUUUGGGAUUUUGGAAGCUACUUUGUAAGAGUUAUAAAAAGAGUGUAACAUGUGGAAGAAGUACGGUGCAAAUAAAGCUUUCUUGUGGAAGUCCCCUUGGCCCAUUGGUUAAACAAAGGUUAAUUAAUGAUUCUACACCCAGAGGUCUGGGGUUCGAGUCCCAGAUACUGCGAUUUAUUAAUAAAAUUUGCAGAUUAUUGGAGGCAAGUGUGUUGGAGAUCUCCAGCGAUGUACAAUUAUAGCCGUUCGCCAGGAUUCUACGCAGAGAGGGAAGUGUCCAUCAAGAGCAUAAAGAAGGAGGUGAAGGAGGUGAGUACGAAGAAGAAGGUGUCGUCUAUCGUGGAUCUAAUAAGGGUCGGAAGGAAUUGUCCGUUGUAGAAUCGUCUAUGUAACAGUUCUCAUAAUUUGCAAUAAAUAAUAAAUCCAGACGUUAAAAAAAAAAAUAAAGCUUUCCUUUU
rnacentral:lncRNA from 1 species